UCAAAACCCGUACAGGUUUUGAGAAACAUAUUUCUUUUGUUUAGGCCAUGGGUUUUGGCCAUUUUCAACACCAAAACCCGUGGAACAACAGCAAGGAGAAGCCAAAAAAAGCAUCGAACCCGCACGGGUUUGCAACAAUUUUUUAUUUUCCCAUCAUCAAAAGCAAUUUUCAACAAUGGCACCCCGUCGAACAGGUAAGAUUUGAUUUGUUUGAUUAUUUUUCUUUGCAUCUUAAUUAAAUUAGGGGUUUUUAAUUGAUUUAAGUUUUGUUUUUAUUAAUUUGAUGUCAGAUUCUUCAAGCAAUCCCCAAAAAUGAAAUAGACAACAAAGACCUCCUCUUACACAAGCAACACAAGAAAACCCUGUUAACAUUGCACAAGAGAAACAAGAAAACCCUCAAAAUCCUGAAAAUAUUGCUCCUCAACAACCACCACCACCCCGAAACCCUCCACAUCCUCCAUUAGAUCAUGUAGAUACCACACGAGGAUCUCAUCAAUCGCCUUACACAAAAUAGUGCCCAAAUUUCUAUAUUGGUGAAUAGGUUGAGGACCUCUAAGCUUGAGCACCACUCAACCCUUGCCAGAACACUAGAAACAAUGGCUAAUAGUGCAAAUAAGGUAUCUAGGGAGGUUACGAAAUGGGGUUCAUGGAGGGAUAGAUGUCGAACAUUUUAUGCGGAAGGGUUGUCAUAUGAUCAAGUGAAGAAAAAGGGCAUAGUUAAAUCUGACAUAUGUGCUCUUUUCACCGAUCCUAUUACCAGUAACAACCUAGAACUAAAUACGACUCGGUUUCCUAUACAUUGGUGUGUUCAUGCUAGGUUGAAAGAUGCUUUUUGGGAUAGGUGGUAUAUGGUCUUUGACUAACCACCUUGUAAUAAUUGGGAGGUGCCUCUAUAUUUUUUGAGAAAGUUGUAUUGUGAGUUUAUCCUCGACGAGAAGCCGAAUUACUUUGACAUCUGACAAUUUCAGGGUAGAGGGAGAGGCUCUGCGCAGGAUAGACCUGGGGCCCAUAGGGUGGUAGAUCCACAACAUAGGAGGUGUACAACUCCUAAACCCAUGGUUCAUGUCACUAUCCCUAUAUCCUUGAAGGUGUCUAUGGAAUUACAAACUCUUUAGGCAGCUGCAUCAUUAACUGAUGUCAUUGUUCAGCAUGGGACACAACUGGUCAAAGUAGAGGAUGUACCAGCACCUACAACAUCUCCUUCAUCAGCGACACCUCCUUCAUCAGCAGCACCUCAUGCAUCAUUUGGCACGAGCCAACCCAUUCAGCAUAUGUGCCCCACCUGCCAGGGUGUAUGUUCUGGUGUAGACACUGACGCGGACGAGGAUGGUGGGACAUCUCAUUCAUGUACAUGUUGCGGGAGUAGAUGCCAUGCUUCCACUGCAGAGGAUGUGGCCCUCACCGAUGAACUGCUCAAUAUGUUGUACCCUCUCUAUCAGACACAGGGUGCAAUAGGUGGUGGGAGUACACCACAUACUGUUCAGUCGACUCCACGAUCACGAGUAGUUUCACCACCAGAGGGCUUAUCAGUGGUUGAGAUGUCCCAACUUGAUGAUAUCACGCUUUCAGCCAUUGACUUUGGCCAAGAUAGCUAUGCGUUUACCCCAUCUGCCUCGAGGACAUCUCGUGUAAGAAAGCCAUCCUCUAGCACUCCAAGGCAAAAAAAGAUAUCCUCUCGAAACCCAAACGACAGAAGAAACAUAUGGGGUUUACGGAAUUAAUGAAUGCACCUGAUGUCGAUGAGGUUCAGCAGAGGGAAGAGGAAAUGGUAAUAGCUACAUCAGAUUCGACAAGGCCUCCUAAGGUUACAGGAGAACUAUACGAGGCUUCGGCCCCUUGCAAACUUCCUACUGUUAUUCUACCAUUCCAUUUCAGUAGAAGUUCUACACGUAUAUUUUGGGAUCCAACAUGACCAAGGCAAAAGGAAAUGGUCGUAACUGAUUCAUCUGUGACUUUGCUUUCUACGACCACAACACAUCCAUCUGAGGCUCCGUUAUAGCCUCCUGUAGGACAUCCCAUAGAUCCUCAACCUCACCGAAUUGCAAAAGACAGAGAUGAGCCACGUACUGCUUCGAAGAGGCUCGAUUUUGAUGAUCCGCCACAGUCAUAGAUACGGAUAGAGACAUAUAGUUAUAGUUGUGGUCAUUGAAGGGCCAAUUUUUUAUAUAUUCGACAUUUGUAUAUGUAUAUAUCGACU